CCUACGGGGGGCAGCAGUGAGGAAUAUUGGUCAAUGGGCGAGAGCCUGAACCAGCCAAGUCGCGUGAAGGAUGACGGCCCUACGGGUUGUAAACUUCUUUUGUCAGGGAGCAAUUGGGUCCACGCGUGGCGUUUUGCGAGUACCUGAAGAAAAAGCAUCGGCUAACUCCGUGCCAGCAGCCGCGGUAAUACGGAGGAUGCGAGCGUUAUCCGGAUUUAUUGGGUUUAAAGGGUGCGCAGGCGGAAUGUCAAGUCAGCGGUAAAAUUUCGGGGCUCAACCCCGUCGUGCCGUUGAAACUGGCGUUCUUGAGUGAGCGAGAAGUAUGCGGAAUGCGUGGUGUAGCGGUGAAAUGCAUAGAUAUCACGCAGAACUCCGAUUGCGAAGGCAGCAUACCGGCGCUCAACUGACGCUCAUGCACGAAAGCGUGGGUAUCGAACAGGAUUAGAUACCCUGGUAGUC
rnacentral:rRNA from 1 species